rnacentral:rRNA from 1 species
UGUCUACGGACCAAAGCGGGGGACCUCCGGGCCUCGCGCCAUCAGAUGAACCCAUAUGGGAUUAGCUUGUAGUGAGGUAACGGUCACCUAGGCGAGAUCCCUAGCUGGUCUCGAGAGGAUGAUCAGCCACACUGGGACUGAGACACGGCCAGACUCCUACGGGAGGCAGCAGUGGGGAAUAUUGCACAAUGGGCGCAAGCCUGAUGCAGCAUGCCGCGUGUAUGAANGAAGGGCUAUCGGGUUGUAAAGGUCACUCUNCCAGCUCGGGGAAGCGAAGGUGGUAACGGGCUCUCAAAAACCAUGAAUCACAAGAGGGAAGGUAUAACCGCAGCGGGAAAAACAGCGCACCGGGAAUAAACUACCGAGNGAACCAGACCAAACCGNCGGCUAAACCAACAGGCAACGNGUACGACCAACAACAUGCCAUAAUACCCGCGCACACAACUGGGGCACGUCCAAAAGAGAGAGAAACACANAAAAAGGACAGGGUAAUGGGAUUNCCAGCCCAAUAUCCCCAAAAAAGNAGAAGCCAACAAACAACACAAGGANGAAAAGAAAAAAAACCACAGAGACAGGAAAAACAGACGAAAAACUCGGCAC